CAUCACUACGCUAGAUGCAUAUCAAUAAGCGGAGGAAAAGAAACUAACAAGGAUUCCCCUAGUAACGGCGAGUGAAGCGGGAAGAGCUCAAAUUUGAAAUCUUAAAAGGUUUUCCUUUUACGAAUUGUAGUUUAAAGAAGUGUUUUCUGUUGAAGUUUUGGUACAAGUUCUUUGGAAUAGGACAUCAUAGAGGGUGAGAAUCCCGUAUUUGACCUUAAUUUUUCAACUUUGUGAUACACUUUCAAAGAGUCGGAUUGUUUGGGAAUGCAGUCCAAAAUGGGUGGUAAAUUUCAUCUAAGGCUAAAUAUUGGCGAUGAGACCGAUAGCGAACAAGUACCGUGAGGGAAAGAUGAAAAGAACUUUGAAAAGAGAGUUAAAUAGUACGUGAAAUUGUCAAAAGGGAAGCGUUUGGCACCAGUGUUGUUUUUCUAAAAAUCAAUUUAAAAUUUGCUUAUGUUAAGUGUUUUAGACUUAAUCGGCUAUACAUUUAAUUCUUUGUAAAUUUUGAAUGCACUUUUUAGUUAACAAGUCAACAUCAAUUUUUUUUGCUGUAAAAAAGUAAGAGGAAGGUGGCUUGGGAAUUCGUUUCAAGUGUUUAUAGCCUCUUGCCCAUGCAGUAGGAGAGAUUGAGGUCUGCAGCAUAGAUCCUUCGGGGCUAGAUGCUUUUGUGCUAGAAGCUAGUAUUAUAUAGACAACUUGUUGAUUAUGUAAUAUAUUAGUUUCUACUCGCUUAAGUUAUUUUACCUACGCUUAGGAUGUUGACUGAUAUGUAGUCGUA
rnacentral:rRNA from 1 species